ACGCUCGACACCUACGGGAGGCAGCAGUGAGGGAUAUUGGUCAAUGGGGGAAACCCUGAACCAGCAACGCCGCGUGAGGGAUGAAGUAUUUCGGUAUGUAAAGCUCUAUCAGCAGGGAAGAAACUGACGGUACCUGACUAAGAAGCACCGGCUAAAUACGUGCCGGCAGCCGCGGUAAUCUGAGCGGGCUGGCAAGGC
rnacentral:rRNA from 1 species